GUUACUGAGAGGAUCCUUCUGGGCUAGCAUCCUCCAUUUGGCUUGAAUCGGACUCUUUUUUCUUUAUUAUAAAUUGAUUCUUUCUGUCAACACUGCUAGACGUAUGCUGCAGGAUAUCAGAGAAACCCACCUGUGAUCACCUAGAGUCUUACUUUGGACCAGCGCUUGGUACCAAGCACAAGUCCCUUGAGCCCCCGGCUUCACAGCACCUUUCAGAUAUUUGGGCUCAAGAAAUCACUGCGAAAGAAGAGAAACAGGUGUGGCAACAAAAAGGGGGAUGUUUGACCACUUCACACAAACAUGGUUUGGACUUGAUAAAAAAAACAAAAACCUAUAGUGCCUGUUGAAACAUGGUUGCUAUUACUCCAGCAUGUACAUUAUUUAACCUACUAGGAAACUGAGAGAAUGGUUUUAUGGAGAAAACAGUAUUUUUGGAAACUUUCUCCUACAGUGGCUCAUAAAGUAUAUACUCACUGUACUAUACGCUCUAAGUAUAAUCCUGGAAAACCACUUCAUGGGUCACAAGGCCACUUGCCCCUUCCUAAAGGAUUCUUUGAAAUACAUCAGUUGGACUUUGUCCAAAGUCCACUAUCUCAAGGAUAUAAAUACAUCUUAGUAAUGAUCUGCAUGUUUUCACACUGGAUUGAAGCUUUUCCCUACAGGAGAGCAACAGCUUUAACAGUAGAUAAAUUGUUAUUUGAAAGGGUAAUUCCUGUUUGGGGAACUCUUUCCGAGUUAUAUAGUAACCAGGGAACUCACUUUACCAGACAAAUAAUUAAAUCUAUUUGUAACAUUUGGCCAAUAAGGCAGCAUUUUCACUGUGCUCAUCAUCUUUGGUAGAAAGAACUAACAACACUACCAAAACUGAAUUGGCAAAACUUUCAGAAGCAUUUAAUCUCUCAUAGACAAAAGUUCUUCUGCCCUUGCUUCUCAACCUUAGAACUUCACCUUUUGGUAAACAUCAUCUGUCUCCUUUUGAAUUAAUAGCAGGAUGGCUUAUGUGACUGAGUGAGGGAAUAUAUAAACCAAUCUUACUCAAAAGAGAUCUAUUGCAUUACUGUUGGGGUCUUAUUAAGGCACUUAAAGGAAAUGAAAAGUUGAUAGCUAAUUUCUUUCACAGUGAGCUGUCAGGAGACAAAGACCUUACAGAUCAUGGAUUACAACCUGGAGAUUUUAUUUAUUGGAAAAGACAUCAAAUGGAUUCUUUGCAGCCAUGUUGGAAAGGAAAAUGGUAUUAUUAACUAAUCCACGCACUGCCAAACUAAAAAGGCAUAGAAUCAUGGGUUCACAUCUCUCAUUUUAAAAAAGCACCCUCCACCUAAGUGGACUUUAACCAUUGUUUCUGACACCCAGUUUCAACUGACUAAGGCAAGCACCACCAAGCCAGGACAAGAAGAUAUGACAGCAGUAACUGACAGCUAACCCAAGACUCUGGACCAGGCUUUCAACCCCCAACCUUGUCAACACUUUUGGACUGCUUUUAAAAAAUUUUUUGAAUGUCUGUUUCACAGAAAAUGAUAAAUAAUGCUAACACUGUCUCAAAGGUAAGGUUCCCUUCCCAGACACCAGGGUCCUGCUGUCUCACUGUGCACAUAUUAGAUCUCUUUUGAAAACUUGAAAGAAUGUAGUCCUGUUGAUAUGAUGUACGCUUUUUGUUCUGGUAAGGUAGGAGACUGCUGAAAACCGAGCUUUGACAGAGAAGUCCUCAGAGAUACUGAGGGGCUCCUCCCGGGGUAUAGGACUCCAUUUGGCUCAAAUAAAACUCUUCUCUAUUCUUCAGCAUGGAUUGAUUAUUGAUUAUUUCCAUUGACAAUUCCAGAAGACUCCAGUUCAGUAGAGGACAAACUAAUAUUAGUGCCUCUUAAGAUGAUGCAGUGGGAAAUAUGCAACAGCUAUGUGGUAUUCUAGCCCCAAAUGUUCAACCUAAAUCCAGUCAUGAAGAAACAGACCAAUCAAGAUGGUGGGACAUUCUGCAAGACAACUGACCUGGACUCUUAAAAAAAAAAUCGAAGUCAUAAAAGGGAAAAAUAAAAGGCAAAACUGUUCUAGAUUAAAAGAUUAAGGAGAUAUGACAACCAAAGGCACUGGAGGAUCUUUGAUUAUAUCCUGGAGUUUUUAAAGUCAGUUAUAAGGACAUUAUUGGGACAGUUAGAGAAAUCUGAAUCUAGACAGUGUUUAGGUAUUAUUAUAUGUAGUUCCUGCUGGGUGGGAGAAUGGAAUUUUCUUGGUUGGGUUAAUGGAAUUUUGCUUACGUAGGGGAAUGUCCUAAAUCUUAGGAGAUACAUUUUUUAAAACGCAGUUAGGAAUGAAGUCUUGACGUUUGCAUUUCAUCUUUGAAAUUGUUGAGCAAAAACUUUUAGAUUGUGUGUGUUUGUGUGUUUGAUCCACAACAGCCAGGCCACUGUGAAUGGUAUAGAAUAAGAUGUUGGUAAUAGGGACUAGAUCUCAUGCAUUGUGAGUGCUGCUGGAACAGACUGUGCACGGCCUGUAUACCCACCAGUAGUUGGAAAGGAGAGAUGGGCGUGAAGUGGGGGCACACAAGGACAAAUUGGAGCUCACAUGUGUCUCCUACCCCCUCUAUCCUCAAUGAUGCAAGUGACCAGCAACAGAACUGGUGUCCUUUGCCACAGAGAUGCACGCAUAGCUGGCCCAGGACUCAGAGAAGCCAAAGAAGGAGACCUAGCAGGAGCCAGGGAGGCUACAGGCCCAGGUACUGUCCCCAAACCAACAAGGCAAGUUAGCAGCUCAGUGACAACCACAUGCCAGCUGCAGCAGAGCCUGACGCCUUCCACCAAAGUGCAAAGCAUUAAAAAAAAAAAAGAAAAGUCAUGCUCCCUUCCAAUCUUGAGCAGAUUUAUUUUGUGGCCAACCCAACUUGGAAUCACACAGGGGAGAGAAUUCUAGGAUAUUUGGGUCCAGCUGAGCUAAGUUGACACACUACAAAGUGGAGCAUGAGUGAGAAAGAGAGAGAGAGAAAGAAAACAAAUGUAACAAAAUAUUAAAAAUUGGUGAAUCUAGGUGAAGAGGGCUCAAUUUUUUUUGUAGAUUUGAAAUUUUAAAUAAAAAGUUGGAGGUGGGGAAAAGGCACCAGGCCCAGAUGGUUUCACAGCUGAGUUUUAUCUAGGCUUUAAAGAUCAGAUUAUUCCUAUAUAAUCCCUAUAUAGUUACACAAACUAUUCUAGACCAUAGGAAAAUACAGAAAAUUCCAGAAAAUAAAUAUAUGUAUGUAUAUGCAUGACUGGGACAUUGUGCUGUACACUAGAAAUUGACACAUUGUAAUUGAAUGUACUUCAAUUGAGAAGUAAUAAUAAAAAAAAGAAAGUGAAGAAAAGUCUACACUCAAAUGAUUCAGAAGAAAGCAUAUACAGAUAUACAUAUACAUACAUGAAUGUUUUAUAUAUAUAAAACCCCAUACUGUAUAAAAUCCCAUACUGUGUGUGUAUAUCUAUAUAUUCUUAUGUAUGUUUGUACGUGUGUAUCCAGAUAGAAUCCUAUGAUAUAAAAUAUAGUUUAAUCUGAGUAAAGGGUACAUGAGUUUGCUCUUUGUACUAUUUCUAUUCUUGCAACCUUUCUGUAAGUUUGAAAUUAUUUCCAAAUAAAAAGUUUUAAAAAUU